rnacentral:rRNA from 1 species
GGGUGAGUAAUGCCUAGGAAUCUGCCUGGUAGUGGGGGAUAACGCUCGGAAACGGACGCUAAUACCGCAUACGUCCUACGGGAGAAAGCAGGGGACCUUCGGGCCUUGCGCUAUCAGAUGAGCCUAGGUCGGAUUAGCUAGUUGGUGAGGUAAUGGCUCACCAAGGCGACGAUCCGUAACUGGUCUGAGAGGAUGAUCAGUCACACUGGAACUGAGACACGGUCCAGACUCCUACGGGAGGCAGCAGUGGGGAAUAUUGGACAAUGGGCGAAAGCCUGAUCCAGCCAUGCCGCGUGUGUGAAGAAGGUCUUCGGAUUGUAAAGCACUUUAAGUUGGGAGGAAGGGCAUUAACCUAAUACGUUGGUGUCUUGACGUUACCGACAGAAUAAGCACCGGCUAACUCUGUGCCAGCAGCCGCGGUAAUACAGAGGGUGCAAGCGUUAAUCGGAAUUACUGGGCGUAAAGCGCGCGUAGGUGGUUUGUUAAGUUGGAUGUGAAAUCCCCGGGCUCAACCUGGGAACUGCAUUCAAAACUGA